GACGAACGCUGGCGGCGUGCUUAACACAUGCAAGUCGAGCGGUAAGGCCCUUUCGGGGGUACACGAGCGGCGAACGGGUGAGUAACACGUGGGUGACCUGCCCUCAGCUCUGGGGAUAAGCCCGGGAAACUGGGUCUAAUACCGGAUAUGACUCCAUGACGCAUGUUGUGGGGUGGAAAGCCUUGUGCGGCUGAGGAUGGGCCCGCGGCCUAUCAGCUUGUUGGUGGGGUGGAUGGCCUACCAAGGCGACGACGGGUAGCCGGCCUGAGAGGGCGACCGGCCACACUGGGACUGAGAUACGGCCCAGACUCCUACGGGAGGCAGGCAGUGGGGAAUCUUGCGCAAUGGGCGAAAGCCUGACGCAGCGACGCCGCGUGAGGGAUGACGGCCUGGU
rnacentral:rRNA from 1 species